rnacentral:rRNA from 1 species
UUCCGGUUGAUCCUGCCGGAGGCCAUUGCUAUCGGGGUCCGAUUUAGCCAUGCUAGUCGCACGGGUUCAGACCCGUGGCGGACAGCUCAGUAACACGUGGCCAAGCUACCCUGUGGACGCGGACAACCUCGGGAAACUGAGGCUAAUCCGCGAUAUCGCUCCCAGGCUGGAGUGCCGGGAGCGUGAAACGUUCCGGCGCCACAGGAUGCGGCUGCGGCCGAUUAGGUAGACGGUGGGGUAACGGCCCACCGUGCCGAUAAUCGGUACGGGUGGUGAGAGCCAGAGCCCGGAGAUGGAAUCUGAGACAAGAUUCCAGGCCCUACGGGGCGCAGCAGGCGCGAAACCUUUACACUGCACGAAAGUGCGAUAGGGGGACCCCGAGUGCGAGGGCAUACAGUCCUCGCUUUUGUGUACCGUAAGGAGGUACACGAAUAAGGGCUGGGCAAGACCGGUGCCAGCCGCCGCGGUAAUACCGGCAGCUCAAGUGAUGGCCGCUGUUAUUGGGCCUAAAGCGUCCGUAGCCGGCCGCACAAGUCCGUCGGGGAAUCCACCCGCCUAACGGGUGGGCGUCCGGCGGAAACUGUGCGGCUUGGGACCGGAAGACUCGAGGGGUACGUCCGGGGUAGGAGUGAAAUCCCGUAAUCCUGGACGGACCGCCGGUGGCGAAAGCGCCUCGAGAGAACGGAUCCGACGGUGAGGGACGAAAGCUAGGGUCUCGAACCGGAUUAGAUACCCGGGUAGUCCUAGCCGUAAACGAUGCUCGCUAGGUGUGGCGCAGGCUACGAGCCUGCGCUGUGCCGUAGGGAAGCCGUGAAGCGAGCCGCCUGGGAAGUACGUCCGCAAGGAUGAAACUUAAAGGAAUUGGCGGGGGAGCACUACAACCGGAGGAGCCUGCGGUUUAAUUGGAUUCAACGCCGGA